AGAAUAGUUUUCAUUGGAUGUUACGAGCAAUAAAAACGCCACGUGUCGGCAUUACGAUAUUGAAUCAUUCAUUUAUUAUUCAAAGAGUUACGUUUCUUAAGAGUCUUAUUUAGUAAUGGACGUUUUGUUAAGAAAUUUGAUGUAACGGUUAACGUUUCAAUGAUUUUUUUUUUUUAAAAUGAAUAGACAUGUGGAAUUUUAGUGAGUACGAAAAAGAAAUAGAAAAAUUUGUUAAACGCGACUUUUCGGUGAGAACCGCUGCUCAAAAAUCAAGCUGUUAGUUACGAAUGUUAUUUGAAUUUAUAAGAAAUAAUUAUUAUUGUCUUAAGUAGAAUUCUCUUUUGAGCAGCAAAUAAAAAAUUAAUUCCUGUACAUGCUGUAUUCGUGUCCAAAUAAUGAGUGUAGACAGCGAAAACAAGUCUAAUGAAGCGAUCGCACCAUUCACUCCGUCCGCCGAUCAAGAGAACAGUGGCAAUGGGAAUAUCGGUGAUAUUCCAAUAACACCAGAUAUGGUGCUGCGUCUGCCUACCAUCACAGAUAACGUAAAUGCGGUACCUAUAUUGUUUUCAGAGUAUUUAUGCUCUCCGGAAGCUAAUAUUUAUGACAUAGACUUUACCAGAUUCCAAAUCAGAGAUCUGGAAACAGGAGCAGUUUUGUUUGAGAUAACAAAGCCACCAGCUGCUGAAUGUGAUUCUCAUCAAGAUGCGGAGGCAGAUUCCGAAGAAUCUACUUGCGAGGAUGCAAACACCGGAAGAUUCGUGCGUUAUCAAUUUACCCCGCAGUUUCUUAAGUUAAAGACAGUUGGUGCCACGGUCGAAUUUCUGGUAGGGCCAAAACCAGUAAACAAUUUCAGGAUGAUAGAACGUCAUUUUUUUCGAGAUAGAUUGUUAAAAACAUUUGAUUUCCAAUUUGGAUUUUGUAUUCCAAAUAGCAAAAAUACAUGCGAACAUAUUUAUGAAUUCCCUACUCUACCAGCUGAUUUGGUUUCUGAAAUGAUUGCAAAUCCAUUUGAAACACGUUCAGACUCAUUUUAUUUUGUGGACAAUCAACUGGUAAUGCACAAUAAAGCAGAUUAUGCGUAUAAUGGAGGACACCAAAAUGAUGUGAUUUAAUAUGUUAUUUGUUGGAUAGUAUUACUUGAAAGUUAUAGAUUAAUAAUACCGUAAUAUUUGCACAUUAUGAAAAGCAAUUGUGUUAAUAGUUCAAUUAUUCACCAGUCUGACUUAAAGGUAGAAUUAUAUAGCACAUAAUUUUAUUUAGCCUUUGCCAUAUUAUUGCUGUCAGUCAUACACAAAAAUAACAAGUAAUUUUGAAGCAUACUUUUAUUAAUAAUAUUUAUCUCAUUGAUCAUAAAAGUUGAAACUAGUUGCACAUAAUAUUUUAACGAUUUUAUCAGUGAAUUACUUUUUCUGAAUUACUACUUCUCAUAUAAUUGCUUGAAACGAGUAAUAAACGGCCUCAAAUCACUUUGUGCAUUUUAUAAUAUUUUUUCUCUAAAUAAGAGAAAAUAUUGCCUAUAUUAAUAUCUAUAAUUAAAGAUAUAUAAAAACACGACAUCAUGUUAACAAAUUCUUACCUGACAUAAGAUUCAUACUUUGUUUAUACUGUCUUAUAUUUUUACUAUUUUUCACCCAUUAUCUCUGUAAAAAUUUUCACAUAAAUAUAUGUACAUAUUUACAAACAAUAAUAUUCUGUUACUCAUACAUAUUUACAAACAUCACGAAUGAGUUUGAUUAAUAAAAUUGGUGACAAUCUUGAUAAAUUCUGCCGGCUUAUCUGCGUGCACCCAAUGAUCGGCACCAGCAACAUAAAGAAAUUCGGCACGUGUAAAUAAUUUCUUAAUAGCAGGAUGAUCUUCGAUUUUUAUGUAAUCGCUAUUUGAACCACCUAUGAACAAUGUUGGACCCAUAUAAACCUUCUCUGCUACAUUAGGGAAUAUCGCAAUUUCUGUAGAGAAGUUUUGCUCCAAUACCGGUAAAUUGACGCGCCAUUUAUAUUUUCCAGGUUCUGCCUCUACAAGAUUCAUUGUAAGAAACUAGAAAAAUUUUAAAGAAGAAAAAAAAAAAAAAAAGAACAUUUACUUUUACAUAUAGAUCAGCGCGAUAAAAAAAUAUUCAAUAAUACGAUAUAAUCUAUAAUAAAUACUUGUCGUAAUGCUAAUGGUUUGACAACUUUUGCGAGCUGUUCUUCCGCCAUUUUACGUGCUUUUGACAAGGAUGGACUUCCAUCUAACGUGAUAGAACGCAUGACUUUAAAAAUUUUCACCAUUUCUGUUAAACUAGGACUAGGUCUUGCAGGAGACAUAUCAACUACCACCAAUUUUUCUACUAAUUCUGGAUAAUGUAAUGCCAAAUACAUCAUAGUCGAUCCUCCCAUACUAUGUCCAAUUAGAAUAGCUUUUUCCAAUUCUAAAUCAUUUAAUAACUGUACUAUAUCUUUUGCCAUAUGUUUAUAAGACAUUUCUGACGAAUGAGGUGAAUCACCAUGAUUCCUUGCAUCUACCGCAAUUACCUAAAAGUUAUGCUGUUUCAUAAAUGUGAUGACAAAUUAAAUGAUAAUAGAAUAAAUAAGAAAAGGAAUGAUAUUAAAAUUAGAACAUUAUAAAAUCCUUUCAUUACCUUACGCUGACUCUUCUGAUGAAUUGCUUUGGACAAAGAAUUCCAAUUAUUCUUUGAUCCAAAUAAACCAUGCAUUAUUACAAUAGGAUGAAUUGUAACAUUCGAAUUUUCUUUCAUUGAUUCAUAAGAAGCAUAAGCUAAUUUAACUGGUUCGACACUUAAAGAAAAUAAAUAAUAUAGAGGUUAGAAUGUAUAAUGAUUAAAAUUGUAUAUCUUUUAAUACGUACAUAUUGGAAUUGUUUAAGGUUUUAUAAGUUGAGAGAAAUCGUAGAACGGAUGAAACCAAUGUUACAUUUAAUCUCCCAAAAUGAAUUAAUCUAUUUUGAUUUGUUAUUUGAAUCAUUGUCAAAUAUAGAUAUUAUGAAUAAAACGUAUUGUAAAGUUGACUUAACAGCGUGAUAGUAUAUUUAUUUUAAAUGAAAACAUGUUACAAUUGCAUGGUACAGGGUCUUUUAUGGUAAACUUUACAAGUUUUCAUAUUUUUAUAUCUUAUUCUGUGGAAAUCAUAUCCUAUUUAAUUUGUGUUCUUAGAAUGGUAAGAAAUUAUGCAAAGUUUAGGAUAGUUUUUAUGAAAGUCACGUGUGCAAUUAGCGGUUUGCAUGUAUUCUCAAAAUGUUAAAUAAUCAUUACAAAAUUAACCAAUCAGAUUUUAGGUUAUAUUCUAAGCUUUGAUUAAUUAAUACUGAUCUAUAUAGAUUUGUAGAUUUAUGCCAAAGUGCAUACGUGGCGCUGUGGUAGUGAAUAUGUCUCUAUGAAGUGGCAGAAAUAAGAAAGAACAUAUGUCUUUUGCGUUGUCUUGCUGUAGAAUUUGAUAAAAUGAGUAGGAUUAUUUCAUGUUUGCUCCUAAUUAUAUACA